UUCAAAAAUAGGGCUGGGAAUUUGGCUCAGUGGUGAAGUGCCCCUGAGUUCAAUCCCUUGUAUGCCCCCUUCCCCAAAUUAAUGUAAUUCUACAUUAAUUGAUUAGAUUUCUAAAUUCCAACAAACACCCGUAACAGGCUUUGGAGUUUUAAAAAAAUAAAACUACCAAAUGUAUAGAAUUAUCUCAAGCUUCCUCUUCAUGUUAUCUAGUCUCAGGUGGUAGUAAAUGUACCAUUGUUCUUUCAUUUGAAAAUAGCUAUCUGAAAAACAGUGGUACAUAGGGACAUUUGUUUCUAACAUUAUGCAGGCUUCAUUUUUAAAAAAUCUUUAGUUAUAAAGAUAUUCAAAACUUCACCCCACUGUCUAUAUAGCAUUAUUGCCAAAAACAUUGACACUGAAUGUGUCUUCUGGAAUAAACAAAAGUGGAAUGUAGGAUAUUUAUAAGACCUCUGAUUUGUAUUCUUUUUUUAAAAAAAAAAAAGGUAAAUGUCUAAAGCAGGUAAGGAGACACAUAAAUCGAGUGGAAUAAGUGGAUUUGGAUUUGAUUUUUGAAUUACAUAACCUCAGUCAUUAGAGAUGCUUCAAGGACACCUCAAAAAAUUUGUAUAUGAACUUUUACAUAAUAUGGAAUAAUGUUAAAUUUUCUUAGGUAAGACAGUGGUUCUGUGCUUUUGUAGAGAAAUAUCCUUUUUCUUUGGACAUGCAUGCUGAGAUUGCUAGAAAUGAAAUGUCAUUCUAUUUGUUACAUUUCAAUCAUUAGGUAAAAGUGUAUUGUGUAUGUAUAAAAUAUGUAUGAGGUACUUCAAAUAUCAGCAGCAGAAUAAUAUGCAGUGAGUCUUAGUGAAAAGUAGAUGAGUAUUUUAUCAACUUCUUUGUAUGCUUGAAAUUUUUAAAAAAAUAAAAAUUUAGUGUGGGAUUGAACAAAAAUUACAAAUAUAGAGAAG
rnacentral:lncRNA from 1 species